CAGUAGCCGCGGGAAAACGAAGGGGGCUAGCGUUGUUCGGAUUUACUGGGCGUAAAGCGCACGUAGGCGGAUCGAUCAGUCAGGGGUGAAAUCCCAGAGCUCAACUCUGGAACUGCCUUUGAUACUGUCGAUCUGGAGUAUGGAAGAGGUGAGUGGAAUUCCGAGUGUAGAGGUGAAAUUCGUAGAUAUUCGGAGGAACACCAGUGGCGAAGGCGGCUCACUGGUCCAUUACUGACGCUGAGGUGCGAAAGCGUGGGGAGCAAACAGGAUUAGAUACCCCCGUAGUCCCUGUCUCUUAUAC
rnacentral:rRNA from 1 species